UGUCACAGCAAAUGCUAGUGCUAACAUAACAUGAGGAAGGUGCUGGCUCAUCCAACAAUAGUGUACAGUACGGAUCUCCAGCCUGGAAAGUCACUCUGGGGACUGGCUUCCUACGCAACCUCCCUGUCUCACCCUGCACACACAGCCACAAAAGCUUGAUAUAUCCUUCACUGACUACAUACCGCUUGUACUGUAAUAUUUCACUUCAUAUUUGGGAGUGGAGAAAAAAAACACAAAGACAUGAGAGAGCAACCGCUUUACUCACCUCUCUAGGGGAGUCACAGCUUCUGUCGUCUGCUUCAUCUAUAGAAGAUGCCACCACAGGAGGGUAACAGCAAAGGAAAAGAGGAAAAAGGUAAUGUCGACCAAAACAUUGGAAAUGGGCGACGUAGAAAACGCUCCACACGCUCUGCCCCGGCUGCUCAGUACAAUAAUGUAUGGCUAAAGCAACAAUAAGUCCAUAUCAUGAAUAA